rnacentral:tRNA from 1 species
CCCUCCGAAGUUCAACUGGAUGAACGCCGGUCUACGAAGCCGGAUGCUGCACGUUCGAAUCGUGCCGGAGGGGCCA